CGGGGCGUGGCGCAGUUGGUAGCGCGCAUCGUUCGGGACGAUGAGGUCGCUGGUUCAAGUCCAGUCGCCCCGACCA
rnacentral:tRNA from 1 species